rnacentral:rRNA from 1 species
CGACACAUGGAGCUGACAGAUACUAAUCGAUCGAGGACUUAACCAUAUUU